rnacentral:RNase_P_RNA from 1 species
GAGGAAGGUCCGGGCUCCACAGGGCAAGGUGGUGGGCAACACCCACCCGGGGCAACUCGCGGGACAGUGCCACAGAAAACAGACCGCCGGUUCCUGCUUCGGCAGGUUCCGGUAAGGGUGAAACGGUGGUGUAAGAGACCACCAGCGCGGCGGGUGACCGUCGCGGCUAGGUAAACCCCACUUGGAGCAAGAUCAAGAAGUCGUUCCUCCGGGAGCGAUGCGCACACGUUCGAGGGCGGCCCGCCCGAGUGUGCGGGUAGAUCGCACGAGGCGGCCGGCAACGGUCGUCCCAGAUGGAUGGUCGCCAACCGGAAGGUCGCAAGGCCCCCGGCGAACAGAACCCGGCCUA